rnacentral:rRNA from 1 species
UACGGAGGGGGCGAGCGUUAUUCGGAAUUAUUGGGCGUAAAGGGCGCGUAGGCGGUGCGGUAAGUCACCUGUGAAACCUCUAGGCUCAACCUAGAGCCUGCAGGCGAAACUGCCGUGCUUGAGGGUGGGAGAGGUGCGUGGAAUUCCCGGUGUAGCGGUGAAAUGCGCAGAUAUCAGGAAGAACACCCGUGGCUAAGGCGGCUCUCUAGUACGGUACUGACGCUGAGACGCGAAAGCGUGGGGAGCGAACAGG